UACGAAGGGGGCUAGCGUUGUUCGGAAUUACUGGGCGUAAAGCGCACGUAGGCGGAUUGUUAAGUUAGGGGUGAAAUCCCGGGGCUCAACCCCGGAACUGCCUUUGAUACUGGUAGUCUCGAGUCCGGAAGAGGUGAGUGGAAUUCCGAGUGUAGAGGUGAAAUUCGUAGAUAUUCGCAAGAACACCAGUGGCGAAGGCGGCUCACUGGUCCGGUACUGACGCUGAGGUGCGAAAGCGUGGGGAGCAAACAGG
rnacentral:rRNA from 1 species